rnacentral:ribozyme from 12 species
AGCAAUGAAAAAAGGCAAAUCGAUACUCGAAACGUUGACAACGGGAUGGAAAAGACACCCGCCGCCCAAUGUGUCUUGGUCUCCCAUUUUUUUCUUCUGCAUUCACCUUGUUUUUUGUCAUGGACACACGAAAACAGAAUCCAAAAGAAACUGUACGAUAUGAUGAAGAAAUGAAGGAGAAUGAA